UACGUAGGGUGCGAGCGUUGUCCGGAAUUAUUGGGCGUAAAGAGCUUGUAGGUGGUUUGUCGCGUCUGCUGUGAAAAUCCGGGGCUCAACCCCGGACUUGCAGUGGGUACGGGCAGACUAGAGUGUGGUAGGGGAGACUGGAAUUCCUGGUGUAGCGGUGGAAUGCGCAGAUAUCAGGAGGAACACCGAUGGCGAAGGCAGGUCUCUGGGCCAUUACUGACGCUGAGGAGCGAAAGCAUGGGGAGCGAACAGG
rnacentral:rRNA from 1 species